CCUUACCUACUCUUGACAUCCAGAGAACUUAGCAGAGAUGCUUUGGUGCCUUCGGGAACUCUGAGACAGGUGCUGCAUGGCUGUCGUCAGCUCGUGUUGUGAAAUGUUGGGUUAAGUCCCGUAACGAGCGCAACCCUUAUCCUUGUUUGCCAGCGAGUAAUGUCGGGAACUCCAGGGAGACUGCCGGUGAUAAACCGGAGGAAGGUGGGGACGACGUCAAGUCAUCAUGGCCCUUACGUGUAGGGCUACACACGUGCUACAAUGGCAGGUACAGAGUGCUGCAAACUCGCGAGAGUAAGCGAAUCACUUAAAGCUUGUCGUAGUCCGGAUUGGAGUCUGCAACUCGACUCCAUGAAGUCGGAAUCGCUAGUAAUCGUAGAUCAGAAUGCCGCGGUGAAUACGUUCCC
rnacentral:rRNA from 1 species